GGAGAGUUGUCCGAGAGGUCGAAGGUGCAUCACUCGAAAUGAUGUGUCGGUGAGAACUGACCGAGGGUUCGAAUCCCUCACUCUCCG
rfam:Clostridium sp. CAG:75 genomic scaffold, scf644